UACAGAGGUCCCAAGCGUUGUUCGGAUUCACUGGGCGUAAAGGGUGCGUAGGUGGUCGGGUAAGUCUGAUGUGAAAUCUUCAAGCUCAACUUGGAAACUGCAUCGGAUACUAUUCGGCUAGAGGAAUGGAGGGGAGACUGGAAUUCUCGGUGUAGCAGUGAAAUGCGUAGAUAUCGAGAGGAACACCAGUGGCGAAAGCGGCGCACUGGACCACUACUGACGCUGAGGCGCGAAAGCUAGGGGAGCAAACAGG
rnacentral:rRNA from 1 species